rnacentral:sRNA from 1 species
GGUUUUCUUUGGUCAUUGUUUAGAGUCUCUAGUCCUGAUCAUAUCUUUCUUCCGAUUCCAAACUGGGAGCACAAGGAGAACCCUGAGACUGAAGAAGAUGUUGGGCCAGUUGUUCAGCACAUCUAUGAGCUGAGAAACAAUGGUCCAAGUUCAUUCAGCAAGGCAAUGCUCCAUCUUCAGUGGCCUUACAAAUAUAAUAAUAAUACUCUGUUGUAUAUCCUUCAUUAUGAUAUUGAUGGACCAAUGAACUGCACUUCAGAUAUGGAGAUCAACCCUUUGAGAAUUAAGAUCUCAUCUUUGCAAACAACUGAAAAGAAUGACACGGUUGCUGGGCAAGGUGAGCGGGACCAUCUCAUCACUAAGCGGGAUCUUGCCCUCAGUGAAGGAGAUAUUCACACUUUGGGUUGCGGAGUCGCUCAGUGCUUGAAGAUUGUCUG